AUAUUCCAAAAAAUUAACAAGAUUGGAAUAUUAUCCUCGACACAACGGGAUCGAAAACUUCGCUAUGCUCGUAAUCAUCACCCAGUGUCGGUUCAAAAUAUCACAAUCUUAUUAAUUUUCUAUUAAUUUUGAAACUUAUCCAAAAGUUGGAACUCAUCCAUUUUUAAAAAACACAUCUUUUCUUAAAAAAAAUUAUGUACGGAUAACAUUAUCACACAGAUAAAAAAAUAAGUACUUACGGCAAAAUUUAAUCUGAAAAACGUCGACGCUGCGCAAAACACAUUCCUUUACGUGGCCUUAAUUAUUACAUCACCUUUUGCAUAAUUAAAACCUACUACAUCACUACAAGAUGUACAUCAGAAAAUGAAUAUUCUACAGGAAUGCUGCACACGUCGAACCCGUCUUUCCAAAAUUAAAUUUUGUUAAAAAAAAAUACCGAAAUAACAUAAGUACUUAUAUGCCAAAAGAUACACAAUCACAU
rnacentral:lncRNA from 1 species